rnacentral:rRNA from 1 species
CCGACGGUGAGAGGUGAAAGCUGGGGGAGCAAACCGGAUUAGAUACCCGGGUAGUCCCAGCUGUAAACGAUGCGCGUUAGGUGUGUCAGUGACCACGUGUCACUGAUGUGCCGAAGGGAAACCGUGAAACGCGCCGCCUGGGGAGUACGGUCGCAAGGCUGUAACUUAAAGGAAUUGGCGGGGGAGCACCACAACGGGUGGAGCCUGCGGUUUAAUCGGACUCAACGCCGGAAAUCUCACCGGAUAA